rnacentral:rRNA from 1 species
AUGAUACGCGAGGAACCGUACCUGGGCUCGAACGUAAGAUGACUGUAGGUGAAAGCUUACAUCUCUUCGGAGCAUUUUACGAGGUGCUGCAUGGUUGUCGUCAGCUCGUGCCGUGAGGUGUCGGGUUAAGUCCCAUAACGAGCGCAACCCCUACCUUUAGUUGCCAUCAGGUUAAGCUGGGGACUCUAAAGGAACUGCCUACGCAAGUAGUGAGGAAGGCGGGGAUGACGUCAAAUCAGCACGGCCCUUACGUCCAGGGCUACACACGUGCUACAAUGGCCGAUACAGAGGGCAGCUACCUGGUGACAGGAUGCAAAUCUCCAAAGUCGGUCUCAGUUCGGAUCGGAGUCUGCAACCCGACUCCGUGAAGUUGGAUUCGCUAGUAAUCGCGCAUCAGCCAUGGCGCGGUGAAUACGUUCCCGGGCCUU